GACCUGAUAGCACAACAGGAUAGUGCAUCUGCUUCAAAUAGAUCAGGAAAUUGGCGCGUUGCAUAAUAAACAGAAGAUCCCCGUUCGAGUCGGGGUCAGGUCA